UACGAAGGGAGCUAGCGUUGUUCGGAAUCACUGGGCGUAAAGGGCGCGUAGGCGGCCUGCUAAGUCGAACGUGAAAUCCCUGGGCUCAACCCAGGAACUGCGUCCGAUACUGGUUGGCUUGAAUCCGGGAGAGGGAUGUGGAAUUCCAGGUGUAGCGGUGAAAUGCGUAGAUAUCUGGAGGAACACCGGUGGCGAAGGCGACAUCCUGGACCGGUAUUGACGCUGAGGCGCGAAAGCCAGGGGAGCAAACGGG
rnacentral:rRNA from 1 species